GAUGAACGCUGACAGAAUGCUUAACACAUGCAAGUCAACUUGAAUUUGGGUUUUUAACUUAGGUUUGGGUGGCGGACGGGUGAGUAACGCGUAAAGAACUUGCCUCACAGCUAGGGACAACAUUUGGAAACGAAUGCUAAUACCUAAUAUUAUGAUAAUAGGGCAUCCUAUAAUUAUGAAAGCUAUAAGCGCUGUGAGAGAGCCUUGCGUCCCAUUAGCUAGUUGGAGAGGUAACGGCUCACCAAGGCGAUGAUGGGUAGCCGGCCUGAGAGGGUGAUCGGCCACAAGGGGACUGAGACACGGCCCUUACUCCUACGGGAGGCAGCAGUGGGGAAUAUUGGACAAUGGACCGAGAGUCUGAUCCAGCAAUUCUGUGUGCACGAUGAAGUUUUUCGGAAUGUAAAGUGCUUUCAGUUGGGAAGAAACAAAUGACGGUACCAACAGAAGAAGAGACGGCUAAAUACGUG
rnacentral:rRNA from 1 species